CCUACGGGGGGCAGCAGUGGGGAAUAUUGGACAAUGGGGGCAACCCUGAUCCAGCCAUGCCGCGUGUGUGAAGAAGGCCCUCGGGUUGUAAAGCACUUUCAGUGAGGAAGAACGCCUGGUGGUUAAUACCCAUCAGGAAAGACAUCACUCACAGAAGAAGCACCGGCUAACUCCGUGCCAGCAGCCGCGGUAAUACGGAGGGUGCGAGCGUUAAUCGGAAUUACUGGGCGUAAAGCGCGCGUAGGUGGCUUGAUAAGCCGGUUGUGAAAGCCCCGGACUCAACCUGGGAACGGCAUCCGGAACUGUCAAGCUAGAGUGCAGGAGAGGAAGGUAGAAUUCCCGGUGUAGCGGUGAAAUGCGUAGAGAUCGGGAGGAAUACCAGUGGCGAAGGCGGCCUUCUGGACUGACACUGACACUGAGGUGCGAAAGCGUGGGUAGCAAACAGGAUUAGAUACCCCUGUAGUC
rnacentral:rRNA from 1 species